UACAGAGGGGGCAAGCGUUGUUCGGAAUUACUGGGCGUAAAGGGCGCGUAGGCGGCCACCGCAAGUCGACUGUGAAAUCUCCGGGCUUAACCCGGAAAGGUCAGCCGAUACUGCGGGGCUAGAGUGCAGAAGGGGCAACUGGAAUUCUCGGUGUAGCGGUGAAAUGCGUAGAUAUCGAGAGGAACACCUGCGGCGAAGGCGGGUUGCUGGGCAGACACUGACGCUGAAGCGCGAAAGCUAGGGGAGCGAACGGG
rnacentral:rRNA from 1 species